CCCAAAACAAACUCGAAAGUUUUCCUUGUGAGAUGGUGUAGUAUUUCAAGGUUGCCCAUGUUCUCGAAUAAGAUCGAGUGGACAUCGCAAGCAUGUAUCUGUCGGGAAAUGCAAAAUUAUGGAAGAGAACUCGGUUGCAAAAAGAUGAGACUGCGGGAAGGCUGAAAAUUUUGACUUGCAAAAAGUUGUAGAAAGAACUGAAGGAUUAGUUCAUCCCUUACAAUACAGCAUCGAUUGCUUGCGAAACUUAAGGCAGAAUGGACACGGUAUAAAGGUAUACAAAUGACUUCUGAUCUUUGAUGUUGGACAUCAAGAACAUGUCCGAAGAAGACAAACUCUUUAAAUUCAUGGUAACACUGUAAGUGUGGACGCAAGCUGAAUUGUGUUGAAAGAGUAUGGAUGAUAUGAAAUCAACCUUUCUGCAAUUGUUGCUUUAGUCGAUUUAAGGUUGGCAGGAUGCAUUAUUGAUGAAGCAAAAUGAAGGUAGAAGCAAAAAGGAUAACCAACAGAAUGAUAGGUCGAAGGUUGCUGAAAAAUACGAUGGACAACCUUCAAAACUGAAAGAGGGUGUAACCUUCCUGAGAUAGGCAAAAUAUUUUGAUGGCUACUUUAUCUAAAAGGGCCUCAUCGUGCAAGGAAUUGCCCAGACUGGGAAAAAUUAGCCGCAAUAAUACUACAGCAACAGCGAGACAAGGAUGCCGAGGAAUUAGUACUAGCUCGGGUAAAUUAGCUGCAAAUUGUUGCAGAGUGAUGGGUUGCAGCUUUUUUUUAUUGCGAUAAAGGAAUUUGAUGGGGAAGCCAUCGAACGCAACAUCAACUACAGAGAUCAUUGAAUUGUGAAGUGUUCCAAAAAUGGGGAAAAUAUGGGACAUGGUAAGUUCCAUAGGGAAAUUCGUAUGGGUAUGCAGCGAAGCAGGUUGGAUUGAUCACCCAAUAUGGAGCAUCAAACAAAGGUAAAGGCAGGAAAACUGCGAGAAUUCUUUAAUGUGUAUUGGAAAAUGCAAAGGCAAUUUAUGGGUAUGAUUUCGACUUCUUUCUCUGGAGAGGGUUUGUGAAGACCCUUGCCGAAAAACUGGCAAUUUUAUGGGUGAUAUCUUAAUCGAUGCCUUGUCAUGGGCGAAGGCAAGUGAGAUUUUCAGAGAAUGCAGAGAUUUGAGAAGGAAUGAAGAUAUUCAAGUUGGGAUGUGGUAAGAAUCGAGGUGUGACAAUAUUAAUUUACUUGAGGGCAACAUCAUUGGACGAGAAUUGAGGGAUACGAGUUGGAUUUAACAUUGAUUGAUAGGUUGAUGUGGGCAUGUGUACUAGCAUUGAGACUUUUCUGUCCACCUGGCUUCAGUCCAAGAAUUCAGUGGUCAAACGCAAGCAUGAGAGUGGCAUGCCAUAGCGAUUAUAAGCAGUUAUGCUUUAUCUUUGAGUUGGUGGUAGUAUUUAGCCAAGUGGGGCUGAAAAUGGGAGAAACUUACCCUAGUAGUUAUGGUGCCAACUGCAAUUCGAGAAUGGAUAUUUCAUUAUAAAUACUAAGUGUGGUGUACAUAGUUUCAAGAAUAGGAGUCAUAUUGAAUAGAUCUUGACGAUGGAGGAGAAGAAAUGAAAUACUGAUUGAGGUUUGAAUUCCUAGCUAUGAAUAUUUGUAUGGAAUACAAAGUUUUGGUCUUCAGGCUUAACCUAGCUUUAGCUAUGUGGAAUUGAUAAGUUCAAGUUGAAAAUGACUCAUUGCUGGUCGUAGGCCAAGUAACCUUUGAGUUUGAAACAAGUGAUAACAUAAUGGUCACUUAAAUGAUGAAAGUUAAAGAAUAGAAGCAAAGACUUGAACAAUUUAACAUCAUGAACUU
rnacentral:lncRNA from 1 species